AGUGGACGCUGGCGGUAGGCCUAACACAUGCAAGUCGAACGGCAGCACAGUAAGAGCUUGCUCUUACGGGUGGCGAGUGGCGGACGGGUGAGGAAUACAUCGGAAUCUACUUUUUCGUGGGGGAUAACGUAGGGAAACUUACGCUAAUACCGCAUACGACCUACGGGUGAAAGCAGGGGAUCUUCGGACCUUGCGCGAUUGAAUGAGCCGAUGUCGGAUUAGCUAGUUGGCGGGGUAAAGGCCCACCAAGGCGACGAUCCGUAGCUGGUCUGAGAGGAUGAUCAGCCACACUGGAACUGAGACACGGUCCAGACUCCUACGGGAGGCAGCAGUGGGGAAUAUUGGACAAUGGGCGCAAGCCUGAUCCAGCCAUACCGCGUGGGUGAAGAAGGCCUUCGGGUUGUAAAGCCCUUUUGUUGGGAAAGAAAAGCAGCAGGUUAAUACCCCGCUGCUCUGACGGUACCCAAAGAAUAAGCACCGGCUAACUUCGUG
rnacentral:rRNA from 1 species